rnacentral:rRNA from 1 species
CCUACGGGUGGCAGCAGUGAGGAAUAUUGGUCAAUGGCCGUAAGGCUGAACCAGCCAAGUAGCGUGAGGGAAGACUGCCCUAUGGGUUGGAAAGCUCUUUUAUGCGGGGAUAAAGGUGUCCACGUGUGGAUGUUUGCAGGUACCGUAUGAAUAAGGCCCGGCUAAUUCCGUGCCAGCAGCCGCGGUAAUACGGAAGGGCCGUGCGUUAUCCGGAUUUAUUGGGGUUAAAGGGAGCGUAGGCGGGUCUUUAAGCGUGCCGUGAAAUUUUGUGGCUCAACCAUGAGAGUGCGGCGCGAACUGGAGACCUUGAGUGCGCGGAAGGCAGGCGGAAUGCGCGGUGUAGCGGUGAAAUGCUUAGAGAUCACGCAGAACCCCGAUUGCGAAGGCAGCCUGCCGCAGCGUUACUGACGCUGAAGCUCGAAAGCGCGGGUAUCGAACAGGAUUAGAUACCCCGGUAGUC